AUAUUUACCUGGCAGGGGAGAUACCAUGAUCACGAAGAUGGUUUUCUCAGGCAAGGCUUAUCCACUGCACUCAGAUGUGCUGACCUCUGAGGUUUCUCCAAAUGUAGGAAUCUCUACUGCAUAUUUUGUGGUAGUAGGGGAUUGUGUUUACGCUUUCCAUAA